rnacentral:rRNA from 1 species
AUUGAACGCUGGCGGCAGGCUUAACACAUGCAAGUCGAGCGGAGAUGAGGUGCUUGCACCUUAUCUUAGCGGCGGACGGGUGAGUAAUGCUUAGGAAUCUGCCUAUUAGUGGGGGACAACAUUCCGAAAGGAAUGCUAAUACCGCAUACGUCCUACGGGAGAAAGCAGGGGAUCUUCGGACCUUGCGCUAAUAGAUGAGCCUAAGUCGGAUUAGCUAGUUGGUGGGGUAAAGGCCUACCAAGGCGACGAUCUGUAGCGGGUCUGAGAGGAUGAUCCGCCACACUGGGACUGAGACACGGCCCAGACUCCUACGGGAGGCAGCAGUGGGGAAUAUUGGUCAAUGGGGGGAACCCUGAUCCAGCCAUGCCGCGUGUGUGAAGAAGGCCUUAUUGUUGUAAAGCACUUUAAGCGAGGAGGAGGCUACUGAGACUAAUACUCUUGGAUAGUGGACGUUACUCGCAGAAUAAGCACCGGCUAACUCUGUGCCAGCCGCCGCGGUAAAAC